rnacentral:rRNA from 1 species
CUACGGGAGGCUGCAGUGGGGAAUAUUGCACAAUGGGCGCAAGCCUGAUGCAGCCAUGCCGCGUGUAUGAAGAAGGCCUUCGGGUUGUAAAGUACUUUCAGCGGGGAGGAAGGGAGUAAAGUUAAUACCUUUGCUCAUUGACGUUACCCGCAGAAGAAGCACCGGCUAACUCCGUGCCAGCAGCCGCGGUAAUACGGAGGGGUGCAAGCGUUAAUCGGAAUUACUGGGCGUAAAGCGCACGCAGGCGGUUUGUUAAGUCAGAUGUGAAAUCCCCGGGCACAACCUGGGAACUGCAUCUGAUACUGGCAAGCUUGAGUCUGGUAGAGGGGGGUAGAAUUCCAGGUGUAGCGGUGAAAUGCGUAGAGAUCUGGAGGAAUACCGGUGGCGAAGGCGGCCCCCUGGACGAAGACUGACGCUCAGGUGCGAAAGCGUGGGGAGCAAACAGGAUUAGAUACCCUCGUAGUC